UUACCUACGGGACGCAGCAGUGGGGGAUAUUGCACAAUGGGGGGAACCCUGAUGCAGCGACGCCGCGUGGGUGAAGGAGCGUUUCGGCGCGUAAAGCCCUAUCGGCAGGGAAGAAGGAGGACGGUACCUGACUAAGAAGCCCCGGCUAACUACGUGCCAGCAGCCGCGGUAAUACGUAGGGGGCAAGCGUUAUCCGGAUUUACUGGGUGUAAAGGGAGCGUAGACGGCUGUGCAAGUCUGAAGUGAAAGCCCGUGGCUCAACCGCGGAACUGCUUUGGAAACUGUAUAGCUUGAGUACUGGAGAG
rnacentral:rRNA from 1 species